rnacentral:rRNA from 1 species
AGAGUUUGAUCCUGGCUCAGGACGAACGCUGGCGGCGUGCUUAACACAUGCAAGUCGAGGGCGUGGGGCAACUCACGACCGGCGAACGGGUGCGUAACACGUGAGCGACCUGCCUUCCCGCGGGGGAUAGCCGGCCCAACGGCCGGGUAAUACCGCAUACGCUCCUUGGGAUACCUGUCCCAGGGAGGAAACUUCCGGGGCGGGGAGAGGGGCUCGCGGCCUAUCAGCUAGUUGGCGGGGUAAUGGCCCACCAAGGCAGUGACGGGUAGCUGGUCUGAGAGGAUGGCCAGCCACAUUGGGACUGAGAGACGGCCCAGACUCCUACGGGAGGCAGCAGUGGGGAAUCUUGCGCAAUGGGAGCAAUCCUGACGCAGCGACGCCGCGUGGGGGAGGAAGGGCU